AAUCAACGCUGGCGGCGCGCUUAACACAUGCAAGUCGAACGAGAAAGGGAGCAAUCCUGAGUAAAGUGGCGUACUGGUGAGUAACACGUGGAUAUCUACCUCUUGGUGGGGAAUAACCUGGGGAAACCUGGGCUAAUACCGCAUAAGUUCGUGAGAAGAAAGGCGCAAGUCGCCGAGAGAGGAGUCCGCGGUCGAUUAGGUAGUUGGCAGGGUAAAAGCCUACCAAGCCGAAGAUCGAUAGCCGGCCUGAGAGGGCACACGGCCACACUGGCACUGAAACACGGGCCAGACUCCUACGGGAGGCAGCAGUGGGGAAGUCUUGCACAAUAGGGGAACCGGUACGAU
rnacentral:rRNA from 1 species